rnacentral:rRNA from 1 species
CAGCAGCCGCGGUAAUACAGAGGGUGCAAGCGUUAAUCGGAAUUACUGGGCGUAAAGCGCGCGUAGGUGGUUUGUUAAGUUGGAUGUGAAAGCCCCGGGCUCAACCUGGGAACUGCAUCCAAAACUGGCAAGCUAGAGUACGGUAGAGGGUGGUGGAAUUUCCUGUGUAGCGGUGAAAUGCGUAGAUAUAGGAAGGAACACCAGUGGCGAAGGCGACCACCUGGACUGAUACUGACACUGAGGUGCGAAAGCGUGGGGAGCAAACAGGAUUAGAUACCCGUGUAGUCCCUGUCUCUUAUAA